GGUGGGUUGGGGGUGUCGGAGUCCUACAUGGUGCUAUCCGGACUCCCGCAAAGCCUCCUACGUUUGUCUCGAGUAUGUCGGAAAAAUACAUUCGAACUGCUAGGCAGACCGAUACAAGGCCCGCGUUGGAUAGCAAAUUGCAUCCGCACAUCGCGGUUUGGACCUAUGCGGGCGGUUUAAGGGUCCGUCUUGAUGAUGCCCUUAGGAAACUAAUUUCAUGUCAUAUGUUAGAAUGAUUAGAGC
rnacentral:lncRNA from 1 species